CCUACGGGAGGCAGCAGUCGAGAAUCAUUCACAAUGGGGGAAACCCUGAUGGUGCGACGCCGCGUGGGGGAAUGAAGGUCUUCGGAUUGUAAACCCCUGUUAUGUGGGAGCAAAUUAAAAAGAGAGUACCACAAGUGGAAGAGACGGCUAACUCCGGGCCAGCAACCGCGGUAAUACAGAGGUCUCAAGUGCUGUGCGGAAUCACUGGGCGUAAAGUGAGUGUAGGUGGUUGCUUAAGUCGCGUGUGAAAGGCGCGGGCUCAACCCGCGGACGGCACAGGAAACUGGGGGACUAGAGUGGAGGAGAGGGAACCGGAAUUCGCGGUGUAGCGGUGAAAUGCGUAGAUAUCGAGAGGAACACUCGUGGCGAAGGCAGGUUCCUGGACAUUAACUGACGCUGAAGCACGAAGGCGAGGGGAGCGAAAGGGAUUAGAUACCCCGGUAGUC
rnacentral:rRNA from 1 species